ACUGUAGUGAGUUUUGGGCAACUGAAAUUCUACAACUUAAAACAAAACCAUCUACGGAUAAAUAGGACUACAGCUCUGGCUCAUGAGGAGCAUUGAAGGCUCCCAGCUGUGUGAUAUCCUGUAAGCAAACUCAGCUGCCUUCAAGAUCAUGCAUCCAGGGUCUAAGGUGGGAGUGAGAAGAAACAAUGCGUGGAUGAUGGGCUUCGGCUCUUAAAUCAAAACCUCUCUUAUUCAUAGACAAACAUGCACUUGCACACAGUUCUGGGCAGAAGAACCCUCCUGUUAUUAGCGCACGCCCACGGCUCCUUGGAGCCAGACUAAAUAAAUAAAUUACAGAUUCA